AUGAUGAGGACUUGCACGUGUCAGGAAAUCUGUGAAGAUACAUUGGUAAUAAAACUCCUGUCAAAAUAUACUACUUUUAGCUUGAAGGUGCACUCAUUUUUGAAUACAAUGUUUUUUCAGGUGAUUAGCAUUAUGUUGUGUUAUAUGUAUGUAUCCAUGCCCAAUGAAGAAAAGGGGAGAUCAGACACAGUAUGGUUUCUCUGGAUAGAGUGCAAAAGUCAUCAACUUAUCACACAAUUGAUGAUUCUUAUUUGCUAUUAUGGGGUUUCUGCAGCCUGCCUGCGGGUAAGAUGUGGAAAUGUUAAGUAA
rnacentral:rRNA from 1 species